rnacentral:lncRNA from 1 species
ACAGAUCGAAUUCAACAAUUAUCACAGAUCGGAUUCAACAAGAUGAAAAAGAAAAAGAAGAAAAAUCAUCACAGAUAAAAAAAAAUCAUCCCGCUCCCUGCCAUGGCCGCCGUCGUGGCGCUCUGCGCCGCCUCCUACCUCCUCGGCCGCGCCCUCCCGACCGCCGCCGGCUCCUCCAUGGCUUGCUUUUGCUCCUCCUCCUCCUUCCCUGCAGCAAAGAGGAAUCAAAUCACACAAAAACAGCUCCUUUCUUCCUCUAGGCUUUGAUUUCUCCUUACCUCCGUGAGCUUCUUGAGGGGGUGAGGCUCUCGAUUGGGGAAACAAGAACCACACCAAAAGCAAAACAAACAGAGAGAAAGCAAGAACCACACCAAAACAGGCUGUCCACUCCCGCCGCCCCCGCCGCUCCCGAGUCCACGCACCCGCCUAUUGUCCAUCUCCAUGGCGGGUGGCGGCGAGGCCGGUGGUGGUGGCCGAAUCAAGGGGUCCGCGCCGCCGCACGAGACGCGAGGCGAGUGGAGGCGCGGCGAGGCGAGGAGAAGCGGUGCGGCGCAGCGAGGAGUGGAGCCGACGCCGGACGAGGAGGAGGAGCGGAGCCGGCGCCGCCGGACGGGGAGGAGGCAACGGGAAUGGCGACCGGGAGGAGGAGAAAGCGAUGGAGGGGAGAGUGAGGAGAAGACGAGUCGAGGGUAGGUGGGGAAAUUAUUUCCCCCACUACCCGUAUCCGCGAGCCCGAGAUCACGCCCACUGUGAUGUCGGUUACCUCCUAUACUAUAUUCAUCCAAUUAAACCACACAACUAAAGGUGCUUAUUAUGUGAGAUGGGUGUUUUUGAGAUAACUUUUGAGGCUAG